rnacentral:rRNA from 1 species
GACGAACGCUGGCGGCGUGCUUAACACAUGCAAGUCGAACGGAAAGGCCCUGUUUUUUUGGGUUGCUCGGGGGGCAAACGGGGAGGUAACCGGUGGUUAACCUGCCCUUGCCUUUGGGUUACCUUCAGGAACCUGGGGUUAAUCCCGGAUGGGGCCUCCUCCGGCUUGGUGGGGGUUGGAAAGUUCGGCGGUUGGGGGUGGACUCGCGGCGUAUCAGCUUGUUGGUGGGGUAGUGGCUUACCAAGGCUUUGACGGGUAGCCGGCCUGAGAGGGUGACCGGCCACAUUGGGACUGAGAUACGGCCCAGACUCCUACGGGAGGCAGCAGUGGGGAAUAUUGCACAAUGGGCGGAAGCCUGAUGCAGCAACGCCGCGUGCGGGAUGACGGCCUUCGGGUUGUAAACCGCUUUCGCCUGUGACGAAGCGUGAGUGACGGUAAUGGGUAAAGAAGCACCGGCUAACUACGUG